rnacentral:lncRNA from 1 species
GUACUGAACAAUAGCACAGGAGCUUCUGGGGGAAGGUUCGUAGGAUUGUGGGGAAUACAGAGCUGACAAUAACUAAAAAGGUUUAUUCCUGGAAUGAGCUGACGUACAUCAUCCGUUGCAUCUUCAAUGUGUGCUCCAUCAUGCUGCUCUCUUCAGGGUGCUGGACACAGGAGAUGAACCAUUCUGCAUCUGUACUGAUUGACAGAGUGGCAGCAUUCCACAAAGCUUUCUGAAACAAGAAGGUGAAUUGGCUUUGUUCCUUCCAUGAGCGUCAAACAGGAUGAGAAAGG